GACGAACGCUGGCGGCGUGCCUAAUACAUGCAAGUCGAGCGGACUGUAUGGGAGCUUGCUCUUGUUCGGUCAGCGGCGGACGGGUGAGUAACACGUGGGCAACCUGCCCGCAAGACCGGGAUAACUCCGGGAAACCGGAGCUAAUACCGGAUAACACCGAAGACCGCAUGGUCUUUGGUUGAAAGGCGGCGCAAGCUGCCACUUGCGGAUGGGCCCGCGGCGCAUUAGCUAGUUGGUGAGGUAACGGCUCACCAAGGCGACGAUGCGUAGCCGGCCUGAGAGGGUGACCGGCCACACUGGGACUGAGACACGGCCCAGACUCCUACGGGAGGCAGCAGUAGGGAAUCUUCCGCAAUGGGCGAAAGCCUGACGGAGCGACGCCGCGUGAGCGAAGAAGGCCUUCGGGUCGUAAAGCUCUGUUGUGAGGGACGAAGGAGCGCCGUUUGAAGAAGGCGGCGCGGUGACGGUACCUCACGAGGAAGCCCCGGCUAACUACGUG
rnacentral:rRNA from 1 species